GAGUUUGAUCAUGGCUCAGGAUGAACGCUAGCGGCAUGCCUAACACAUGCAAGUCGUACGAAAUUAUUUUAGUGGCGGACGGGUGAGUAACGCGUGAGAAUCUACCUUUAGGAAAGGAAUAUACAUAAUUAAAUCCUUAUACGCUUUACAGUGAAAAAAGAAAUUCGCCUAGAGAUGAGCUCGCGUCUGAUUAGUUAGUUGGUGAGGUAAUGGCUUACCAAGACGAUGAUCAGUAGUUGGUUUGAGAGGAUGAUCAGCCACAUUGGAACUGAGACACGGUCCAAACUCCUACGGGAGGCAGCAGUGGGGAAUUUUCUGCAAUGGGCGCAAGCCUGACAGAGCAAUGCCGCGUGAGGGAUGACGGUCUUUGGAUUGUAAACCUCUUUUUUCAAGGAGGAAGUUCUGACGUGUACUUGAAGAGUAAGCAUCGGCUAACUCCGUGCCAGCAGCCGCGGUAAUACGGGGGAUGCAAGUGUUAUCCGGAAUUAUUGGGCGUAAAGCGUCUGUAGGUUGUUUAAUAAGUCCAUUGUUAAAGCUUGAAACUUAACUUCAGAGAUGCAGUGGAAACUAUUAAACUAGAGUAUAAUUGAGGUAGAAGGAAUUUCCAGUGGAGUGGUGAAAUGCGUUGAUAUUGGAAAGAACACCAAUUGCGAAGGCAUUCUAUUAAAUUAUUCUGACACUCAGAGACGAAAGCUAGGGUAGCGAAGAGGAUUAGAUACCCUCGUAGUCCCAGCCGUAAACGGUGCGCACAUGCUGUGGGCGGAUUCGACCCCGUCCGUGGCGAAGCUAACGCGUUAAGUGCGCCGCCUGGGGAGUACGGUCGCAAGAUUAAAACUCAAAGAAAUUGACGGGGGCCUGCACAAGCGGUGGAGUAUGUGGCUUAAUUCGAUGCAACGCGAAGAACCUUACCUGGCCUUGACAUGUAGUGGCCCGGGUGCGAAAUCACCCUUUUCUUCGGAACUGCUACACAGGUGCUGCAUGGCUGUCGUCAGCUCGUGUCGUGUGAUGUUGGGUUAAGUCCCGCAACGAGCGCAACCCCCGUGUUCUGUUGCCACCCGGAUGAGAAUUCGGAGCACUCUGGACAGACUGCCUGGUUUCAACCAGGAGGAAGGUGGGGAUGACGUCAAGUCAGUAUGGCCCUUACGGCCAGGGCUGCACACGUACUACAAUGCCCGGUACAAUGGGAAGCGAGACCGCGAGGUGGAGCAAAUCCUAAAAACCGGGCCCAGUUCAGAUUGUAGGCUGCAACUCGCCUACAUGAAGGAGGAAUCGCUAGUAAUGCCGUAUCAGCUACGACGGCGUGAAUACGUUCCCAGGCCUUGUACACACCGCCCGUCACAUCAUGAAAGUCGAUUGUACCCGAAGUCGCCGAGUUAACCGCAAGGAGACAAGCGCCGAAGGUAUGGUUGGUAAUUGGGAUGAAGUCGUAACAAGGUAACC
rnacentral:rRNA from 1 species